GGGGGCGUGGCGCAACGGUAGCGCGUCAGAUUCCAGAUUGUGUUCUUUGAAUCAUCCAGGUCGUGACCUUAAAGCUGGAGUCUCCUGAAGGUUGUGCGUUCAAAUCGCACCGUCCUCA